GAUGAACGCUAGCGGCAGGCCUAAUACAUGCAAGCUGAACGGUAACACUUGUAGCAAUACGAGUGCAAGAGUAGCGUAAGGGUGCGUAACACGUAUGCAAUCUGCCCGUAACCGGAGGAUAGCUCCCCGAAAGGGGAAUUAAUACUCCAUAAGAUCACACGAGGGCAUCUGAGGGUGAUUAAAGCUGAGGUGGUUACGGAUGAGCAUGCGCAUGAUUAGUUAGUUGGCGGGGUAACGGCCCACCAAGACAAUGAUCAUUAGGGGAACUGAGAGGUUGGUCCCCCACACUGGCACUGAGAUACGGGCCAG
rnacentral:rRNA from 1 species